rnacentral:other from 1 species
AAAGCCCUGCUGUGCUCGUGUAAACCGGUUAAGUUUUGAGCUAACACACAUUUAAAGGGAGCCCGGGCUUUAGCUGUAGCGUAGAAGCCUCCUUCGAGAGGACCUACAAAGCAGCUAAGAGGGCACCCACCUUUAGGGGGAAGGGUUCAAAACCCAACGGUCCACGGCAUGGCGGGGUUUUU